UGGGGAAUAUUGCACAAUGGGCGCAAGCCUGAUGCAGCCAUGCCGCGUGUAUGAAGAAGGCCUUCGGGUUGUAAAGUACUUUCAGUCGGGAGGAAGGUGGUAAGGUUAAUAACCUUAUCAAUUGACGUUACCGACAGAAGAAGCACCGGCUAACUCCGUGCCAGCAGCCGCGGUAAUACGGAGGGUGCAAGCGUUAAUCGGAAUUACUGGGCGUAAAGCGCACGCAGGCGGUUUGUUAAGUCAGAUGUGAAAUCCUCGGGCUCAACCUGGGAACUGCAUGUGAUACUUGCAAGCUUGAGUCUCGUAGAGGGGGGUAGAAUCCCAGGCGUAGCGGUGAAAUGCGUAGAGAUCGGGAGGAAUACCGGUGGCGAAGGCGGUCCCCGGGACGAAGCCUGACGCUCAGGUGCGAAAGCGUGGGGAGCAAACAGG
rnacentral:rRNA from 1 species